rnacentral:rRNA from 1 species
AACGCUAGCUACAGGCUUAACACAUGCAAGUCGAGGGGCAGCACAAGGCAGCAAUGCUGAGGNGGCGACCNGNGCACGGGUGCGUAACGCGUAUCCAACCUUCCCGUUACUCUUGGAUAGCCUUCCGAAAGGGAGAUUAAUACAAGAUGGUGUUGAAAUUCCGCAUGUUAUUUCAACUAAAGAUUUAUCGGUAACGGAUGGGGAUGCGUGACAUUAGAUAGAUGGCGGGGUAACGGCCCACCAUGUCUACGAUGUCUAGGGGUUCUGAGAGGAAGGUCCCCCACACUGGAACUGAGACACGGUCCAGACUCCUACGGGAGGCAGCAGUGAGGAAUAUUGGUCAAUGGCCGGAAGGCUGAACCAGCCAAGUAGCGUGAAGGAUGAAGGUUCUAUGGAUUGUAAACUUCUUUUAUACGGGAAUAAAACCUCCCCACGUGUGGGNGCUUGUAUGUACCGUAUGAAUAAGCAUCGGCUAACUCCGUGCCAGCAGCCGCGGUAAUACGGAGGAUGCGAGCGUUAUCCGGAUUUAUUGGGUUUAAAGGGAGCGUAGACGGGAGAUUAAGUCAGCUGUGAAAGUUUGAGGCCCAACCUUAAAAUUGCAGUUGAUACUGGUUUCCUUGAGUGCGGUUGAGGUGUGUGGAAUUCGUGGUGUAGCGGUGAAAUGCUUAGAUAUCACGAAGAACUCCGAUUG